ensembl:rRNA
UUCGAAGGUUACCUAGGUACGGUCGGAAAUCGUGCUGAUAGUGCAAUGGCAAAAGGUAGCUUAACUGCGAGACCGACAAGUCGAGCAGGUGCGAAAGCAGGACAUAGU